rnacentral:hammerhead_ribozyme from 1 species
ACUAGCUGACGGGUCCAAAAUAGGACGAAACGCUCAUCCUGGAU